rnacentral:sRNA from 1 species
UUUGCAGAGUGAGACAAAGCGGAGAUCGCUGGUGGGCCUGCUGCGGAGUACGCUUUGGACUGAGAAGCAUCGAGGCUAUAGGACGCAGCUGUUGCCAUGACGGCCCAGGGGGGCCUGGUGGCUAACCGAGGCCGGCGCUUCAAGUGGGCCAUUGAGCUAAGCGGGCCUGGAGGAGGCAGCAGGGGUCGAAGUGACCGGGGCAGUGGCCAGGGAGACUCGCUCUACCCAGUCGGUUACUUGGACAAGCAAGUGCCUGAUACCAGCGUGCAAGAGACAGACCGGAUCCUGGUGGAGAAGGUACAGAGGUAUAGAUGUUACCGUAGCCCAUGGGCCAGUCCUGAGUUACACACUCAUCCUCUUCUCCUAUGUGGAGUUAACGUAGAUAGCUCUUAUCCUGAAGAUUUGGAAACUAAACUGCUUGAGGCUGGUAUUUCGGUAUUUUAUAUAUCAGCUACAAAAGUGCUUAAUAGUUUGAAAAAUAGAAGAUAUUUGGAACAUAAGGUAUAAGAAAGUAGGUUGAAAACUAUCUUUUGGUGGCAACAUCUUCCAGUUGAAGUGAUCCUUUUUCUACUCUGGUUCCCUUACACCACAUAUCCAACUGUCAGGAUACUCUGUUGGCUUUACCUGCUACUUUUUCCUGUGUUCACCUCUCAUCCCAAUCCAAGCCACCAUCCUUCAUCUAGAUUUCUGCAGUAGCCCGGCUAAUUUUUGUAUUUUUAGUACAGACAGGGUAUCACCAUGUUUGCCAGGCUGGUCUUGAACUCCUGACCUCAGGUGAUCCAUCCGCCUUGGCCUUCCAAAGUGCUGGGAUUACAGGCAUGAGCCACCGCGCUCGGCCCGGGGCUAUUUAUAUUUCUAAUUUCUCCUGUCAUUUUGUUACAUUUUUUCUAGAAACUUAUCCAUUUCCUAAAAUUUCAAAUGUAUUGAUAUAAAGUUGUUCAUAAUAUGAUCACUUCCAUAUAUGCAAGAUCUGUGAUGUUCAUUUUUUCAUUCCUGAUAUUGAAUAUUUGUCUCCUCUCCUUUCUUCAUCAGGCUCACCAGUAUUGAUUUUUUAAAAAUUAUUUUCAUUUAUUUUUACAGGUCACUGUACCCAUCACCAGUAUUGAUUUUAUUAAUCUUUUCAAAAAUACUUGGGUUUUUUUCUAGUUUCUUGAAAUGGAUGCUUAGUUUAUUUUUAGACUGCCAUUACUUUUUUUCUUU